UACGUAGGGGGCAAGCGUUGUCCGGAUUUAUUGGGCGUAAAGCGCGUGUAGGCGGCCAGGUAGGUCCGCUGUGAAAACCCGAGGCUCAACCUCGGGACGUCGGCGGAAACCAUUUGGCUAGAGUCCGGAAGAGGAGAGUGGAAUUCCCGGUGUAGCGGUGAAAUGCGCAGAUAUCGGGAAGAACACCCGUGGCGAAGGCGGCUCUCUGGGCCUUACCUGACGCUGAGGCGCGAAAGCUAGGGGAGCGAACAGG
rnacentral:rRNA from 1 species